rnacentral:rRNA from 1 species
AGAGUUUGAUCCUGGCUCAGGACGAACGCUGGCGGCGCGCCUAAUCCAUGCAAGUCGAGCGACGCAUUCCUUAGCCCGUAAGGGCGGGUUUGACGGAGCGGCGAACGGGUGCGUAACACGUGACCAAUCUGCCCCGAAGACCGGGAUAGCCCGGGGAAACCCGGAUUAAUACCGGAUGAUCUCACCACCACGCAUGUGGAGGUGAGCAAAGGCUCAGGCGCUUCGGGAUGAGGUCGCGGCCCAUCAGCUUGUUGGUGAGGUAACGGCUCACCAAGGCAAUUACGGGUAGCUGGUCUGAGAGGACGAUCAGCCACACUGGAACUGAGAUACGGUCCAGACUCCUACGGGAGGCAGCAGGAGGGAAUCUUGCGCAAUGGGCGAAAGCCUGACGCAGCGACGCCGCGUGGGGGAUGAAUGCCUUAGGGUUGUAAACCCCUUUCACGAGGGAAGAAACUGACGGUACCUCGAGAAGAAGCCCCGGCCAACUACGUGCCAGCAGCCGCGGUAAUACGUAGGGGGCGAGCGUUGUCCGGAUUUAUUGGGCGUAAAGGGCUCGUAGGCGGCUUGGCAAGUCGGCCGUGAAAACCCAGGGCUCAACUCUGGGACGCCGGUCGAUACUGCCAUGGCUAGGGUCCGGUAGANGGGAAUGGAAU